UGUCCAGGAGCGGGAAUCGAACCCACAACCUUCUGCUUACCGGGCAGGUGCCAUGUCCACCAGACAGGUUUAACUGUAC